GUUGCAACUGAGGGAGAUGAAGCAACUUGUGACAUUAUUUUCAGCAGGUUGAAAAGUUUGGAACUUGUGAAUCUACCACGACUUAAGAGCUUUUGUUCAGGCAACCACACAUUUGGAUUCCCAUGUUUAGAGGAAUUAAUAGUGAGUGGCUGCCCUGAACUGGAGAUAUUUUGUAAGGGAGUUUUAACUCAUCCACCAUUAUUGGCAAAAUGCGGAAAAGAUAAUAGUCAUUGGUGUAGUGACCUUAACAACACUAUCCAAGAAAUGUAUUCAAUAAAGAUUUUGUAGGCUGAAUUUUCCAAGUCAAUUGAAAUAUGGAAGAACAUUCAUGGAAGUUUAAAUUUCAAGAAACUUAAGGUUUUAGAAGUCAAUUGUGAAGGGUUGAGAAAAUGAUUUAGAGGAAAAAGGCCAAUCUUAUGAUCACUAGUGGCACUGACAUUAUUCUCUUGGGAUAGAAAGAAACAACUCAGAGAUUCUUUUUCCAACUCUUUCCAUUGAAAGGUGAUAUCCCAUUUUUGUUUUCUUGCAUCAUUGUUUUCUUUCAUUUUUUUUUUUUUUUUGUUUCUGAUUCCCUAUUCUUGUUGUACUACUUGUUUUUCUCUAGCAAACUAACCUUACUUGUAGGAACAGAGAAUCAUGGGUGUGGGAAACUGGAGAAAGAUAUGGCACAACCGGUCAACUAACUGCGCUAAUCAUAUUGAAGAGUUUUAGCUCAAGGAUACAGACUACAGAAAGGCCAAAUUGAAGGAAAAGUGGAGAUAUUGCUUUAGAAAGUUACUUUAUAAAGAGUUACGGCAGAUGCCCCUUUCAUUGCUGUCUACUAGAGUAUGUUGCUGCUGCUCAGUAGUAGCCAUAUUCACUGAUCUAAAGUUGUUAUUUCACUUCCUAGUUAUGUUACUCCAACUUUGAGUUUGAAAUUCAGGUAAGAGCAUAUGUCUAACAAGGAUAUGUUCCAUUUUUUCAAUGUCUUUGAGAGUCAUAUUCUCAUGCCUAAGUUCAGAAAUGCAUCCGAUAAUCUAGUCUACCAGAGUGUUGUACAUGAGCAAUUGCAUUUUGAUUUGUAACCUCAAUUGUCAGUGCUGAACUGAGCUACAUGUAUUCUUUAAAAGAUUGGAAAAAACCAAAGUUUCAUGA